CACAGUCAGUUCCAAAACAAACAUGCAAAACCACCCCGUUUCAGCCCUCAGCCUCAGGGCUGAGAUUCAGGCUCAGGUCUAGGGGUUGGGGAAUAUUAAAGUUUACAAGUACAAUCUUACUCCAUCCAUACACACACAUGGAGAAGCCAGGAGAGGACGCGGCCAGAGAUGGGCUCCUGCCCUUGAACCCCUGCUGGGGUGGAAGCAGAGAUGGGGGCUCCCUAUGUUGCCCAGGCUGGUCUCAAACUCCUGGACCCAAGCCAUCCUCCCAAAGUGCUGGGAUUACAAGUGUGAGCCACCACGCCAAGCCUGACUUUAAGAUUUUUGCCAAUCCAGUGGCUCCCUGGUUCAACCUCAAGGCCUUGAGGUUUUGGCAGCUCUGGAGGAUGAGAGAGAACAUGGCCAGGGGCCCUUGCAACGCGCCGAGAUGGGCGUCCCUGAUGGUGCUGGUCGCCAUAGGCACCGCCGUGACAGCGGCCGUCAACCCUGGCGUCGUGGUCAGGAUCU
rnacentral:lncRNA from 1 species